AACGAACGCUGGCGGCAUGCCUAACACAUGCAAGUCGAACGAGAUCUUCGGGUCUAGUGGCGCACGGGUGCGUAACGCGUGGGAAUCUGCCCUUUGGUUCGGAAUAACAGUUGGAAACGACUGCUAAUACCGGAUGAUGACGAAAGUCCAAAGAUUUAUCGCCAGAGGAUGAGCCCGCGUAGGAUUAGCUAGUUGGUGUGGUAAAGGCGCACCAAGGCGACGAUCCUUAGCUGGUCUGAGAGGAUGAUCAGCCACACUGGGACUGAGACACGGCCCAGACUCCUACGGGAGGCAGCAGUGGGGAAUAUUGGACAAUGGGCGAAAGCCUGAUCCAGCAAUGCCGCGUGAGUGAUGAAGGCCUUAGGGUUGUAAAGCUCUUUUACCCGGGAUGAUAAUGACAGUACCGGGAGAAUAAGCUCCGGCUAACUCCGUGCCAGCCGCCGCCGUAAAAC
rnacentral:rRNA from 1 species